GGUUGCCUCCUGAAUUGUAGUCUGGAGAGGUGCCAUCGGUCCCCCUCGGCGCCAAAAUCCCUUGGAACGGGGUAUCGGAGAAGGUGAGAAUCCUGUCAUGCGCCGGAGUGGGACCGUACGAUGUGCUCUCGUAGAGUCGGGCUGCUUGGGAGUGCAGCCUGAAGCGGGUGGUAAAUUCCAUCUAAAGCUAAAUACUGGCGGGAGACCGAUAGCGAACAAGUACCGUGAGGGAAAGAUGCAAAGAACUUUGAAAAGAGAGUUAAAGAGUGCUUGAAAUUGGCAGGAGGAAACCCGGUUGCGCGUGGCAUUUGGCGUGGUCGACUCAGCCGCGCGCGGAGACCUGUAGGGGAUUUAACGGCCUCGUGGUCAGCGCGCGCGGUGCACUUCGGCCGCGUCGGUCAGCCGCGUUUCUGUGCGGCCCAGACGGCCGCGGGCAGGG
rnacentral:rRNA from 1 species